rnacentral:rRNA from 1 species
UUGACCUCGGAUCAGGUAGGGAUACCCGCUGAACUUAAGCAUAUCAAUAAGCGGAGGAAAAGAAACCAACCGGGAUUGCCUCAGUAACGGCGAGUGAAGCGGCAAGAGCUCAAAUUUGAAAUCUGGCCCCCUCGGGGUCCGAGUUGUAAUUUGCAGAGGAUGCUUCGGGUGCGGCCCCCGUCUAAGUGCCCUGGAACGGGCCGUCAUANANGGUGAGA